rnacentral:rRNA from 1 species
GACUAACGCUGGCGGCGUGCCUAACACAUGCAAGUCGAACGAAGUAGCAAUACUUAGUGGCAGACGGGUGAGUAACGCGUAGACAAUGUGCCCUCUUGCGGGGGAUACCGUUCCGAAAGGAACGUUAAUACCGCAUAAAACGGCCUGGUGGCAUCACCGGACCGUCAAACUUCCGGGGCGGGAGGAGCAGUCUGCGUUCUAUCAGCUAGUUGGUGAGGUAAUGGCUCACCAAGGCUACGACGGAUAACUGGUCUGAGAGGAUGAUCAGUCACACUGGAACUGAGACACGGUCCAGACUCCUACGGGAGGCAGCAGUGAGGAAUAUUGCGCAAUGGGCGAAAGCCUGACGCAGCGACGCCGCGUGGAGGAAGAAGGCCUUCGGGUUGUAAACGUCCUAGUCAGUGGGGAAGAGAAUGGACGGUACCCGACGUGAGGAAGACUUCGGCGUAACUACGUGCCAGCAGCCGCGGU